rnacentral:rRNA from 1 species
GACGAACGCUGGCGGCGUGCCUAACACAUGCAAGUCGAACGAAGCACUGCGGAAAGAGACUUCGGUCAAUGGAAGCUUUGACUUAGUGGCGGACGGGUGAGUAACGCGUGAGGAACCUGCCUUUCAGUGGGGGACAACAGUUGGAAACGACUGCUAAUACCGCAUAAUGUGUUUUGGAGGCAUCCCCGGAACACCAAAGAUUUAUUGCUGAAAGAUGGCCUCGCGUCUGAUUAGAUAGUUGGUGGGGUAACGGCCUACCAAGUCGACGAUCAGUAGCCGGACUGAGAGGUUGAACGGCCACAUUGGGACUGAGAUACGGCCCAGACUCCUACGGGAGGCAGCAGUGGGGAAUAUUGGGCAAUGGGGGAAACCCUGACCCAGCAACGCCGCGUGAAGGAAGAAGGCUUUCGGGUUGUAAACUUCUUUACCUAGGGACGAAGGACGUGACGGUACCUGGAGAAAAGACCACGGCUAACUACGUG